CAGCAGCCGCGGGAAUACAGAGGGUGCGAGCGUUAAUCGGAUUUACUGGGCGUAAAGCGUGCGUAGGCGGCUAAUUGAGUCGGAUGUGAAAUCCCUGAGCUUAACUUAGGAAUUGCAUUCGAUACUGGGAAGCUAGAGUAUGGGAGAGGAUGGUAGAAUUCCAGGUGUAGCGGUGAAAUGCGUAGAGAUCUGGAGGAAUACCGAUGGCGAAGGCAGCCAUCUGGCCUAAUACUGACGCUGAGGUACGAAAGCAUGGGGAGCAAACAGGAUUAGAGACCCCAGUAGUCCCUGUCUCUUAUAC
rnacentral:rRNA from 1 species